CGCGCCUACGGGACGCAGCAGUGAGGAAUAUUGGUCAAUGGGCGGGAGCCUGAACCAGCCAAGCCGCGUGAGGGAAGAAGAUACAGCGUAUCGUAAACCUCUUUUGUCAGGGAACAAAGGCGGGGACUAGUCCCCGGAUGAGGGUACCUGAAGAAAAAGCAUCGGCUAACUACGUGCCAGCAGCCGCGGUAAUACGGAGGUUGCGAGCGUUAUCCGGAUUUAUUGGGGUUAAAGGGUGCGCAGGCGGCCUGUUAAGUCAGCGGUAAAAGCCCGGGGCUCAACACCGGCGAGCCGUCGA
rnacentral:rRNA from 1 species